rnacentral:lncRNA from 1 species
CUCUGUGGACCAGGCUGGCCUUGAACUCAGAGAUCCACCUGCCUCUACCUCCCAAGGGCUGAGAUUUAAAGUGUGCACCAGUGCACCCAGUGACAGGCUGCUGUUUUAAAACUGUAAGAUUUAUUGGUGCAACAACUGUUGAAAACACACUAUGGGUCCUUAAAACUAAAAGAAAAACAAAAAAAAAAAAAGAGAGUCCACCUGGCCCAGCAAUCUCAUGUAUGUGUACUCACCCUGAGAACUGAAAGUUGCCCGAAGCCACCGGCGCCCACCCCCUCCCAUUCUGGAAGUACUUUUAAGAUAGCCACAAGGGAGAAGCAGGCCAAGUGGCCAACAUGGGUGGAUGCAGAUGAAACACAGCCUAGUCACAUGGUGGAUGCUUCUCAGCCAGCCAUAACACAGGACGCACAGAGCAUCCUUGCUCAUGUCAGUAAUUUUGGCACUCAGGAGGAGGAGGAGGCAGGAGGAUCAGGAAUUCAAACUUAUCCCUGUCUAACAUAUUUUGAGGAUACCUGGGCUACACAAGACCCCAUCUCAGCUGGGUAUUGUGUCAUAGGCCUUUAAUCCCAGCACUUGGGAGGCAGAGGCUGUAGAUCUCUAAGUUUGAGGCUAGCCUGGUCUAUAGAGAAAGUUCAGGGAGAGAAACCCUGUCUUAAAGAAA